rnacentral:tRNA from 1 species
GGGCCAAUCGUAUAGUGGCUUAUUAUGCUGUCUUAGGGUGACGCAAGUGCCAGGUUGCAUCCACGAUUCUAAGUUGACAGAGGUCCCCGGUUCGAUUCCGGGUUGGCCCC